rnacentral:rRNA from 1 species
AGAGUUUGAUCAUGGCUCAGGAUGAACGCUGGCGGCGUGCUAACACAUGCAAGUCGAGCGAUUCUCUUCGGAGAAGAGCGGCGGACGGGUGAGUAACGCGUGGGUAACCUGCCCUGUACACACGGAUAACAUACCGAAAGGUAUGCUAAUACGAGAUAAUAUGCUUUUACCGCAUGGUAGAAGUAUCAAAGCUCCGGCGGUACAGGAUGGACCCGCGUCUGAUUAGCUGGUUGGUAAGGUAACGGCUUACCAAGGCGACGAUCAGUAGCCGACCUGAGAGGGUGAUCGGCCACAUUGGAACUGAGACACGGUCCAAACUCCUACGGGAGGCAGCAGUGGGGAAUAUUGCACAGUGGGCGAAAGCUUGAUGCAGCAACGCCGCGUGAGCGAUGAAGGCCUUCGGGUCGUAAAGCUCUGUCCUCAAGGAAGAUAAUGACGGUACUUGAGGAGGAAGCCCCGGCUAACUACGUGCCAGCAGCCGCGGUAAUACGUAGGGGGCUAGCGUUGUCCGGAAUUACUGGGCGUAAAGGGUGCGUAGGUGGUUUCUUAAGUCAGAGGUGAAAGGCUACGGCUCAACCGUAGUAAGCCUUUGAAACUGGGAAACUUGAGUGCAGGAGAGGAGAGUGGAAUUCCUAGUGUAGCGGUGAAAUGCGUAGAUAUUAGGAGGAACACCAGUUGCGAAGGCGGCUCUCUGGACUGUAACUGACACUGAGGCACGAAAGCGUGGGGAGCAAACAGGAUUAGAUACCCUGGUAGUCCACGCCGUAAACGAUGAGUACUAGCUGUCGGAGGUUACCCCCUUCGGUGGCGCAGCUAACGCAUUAAGUACUCCGCCUGGGAAGUACGCUCGCAAGAGUGAAACUCAAAGGAAUUGACGG